GCUUGGCGGCCAUAGCACUUUGGACCCACAUCUUCCCAUCCCGAACAGAAUCGUGAAACGAAGUAGCGCCGAUGAUAGUGUGCAUUCGCAUGUUAAAGUAGGUUACCGCCAGGC
rnacentral:rRNA from 1 species